AUUCCAGCUCCAAUAGCGUAUAUUAAAGUUGUUGCAGUUAAAAAGCUCGUAGUUGGAUGUUGGGUUCUAGUUAUGUUCGGUCUCUUCUAGAGUACUGUCAUGCUGGCCCUUUUUCUCGAGGCCUAUAGGUGCACUUAACCGUGUGUUUAUAGUGUUCGGGACUUUUACCGUGAGAGAAUUAGAGUGUUCAUAGCAGGCUAGUGCUUGAAUAUUACAGCAUGGAAUAAUGGAAUAGGAUCAUGAUCUUAUUUUGUUGGUUUCUAAGAUUAAGAUAAUGAUUAAUAGGGAUAGUUGGGGGCAUUAAUAUUUAGUUGUCAGAGGUGAAAUUCUUAGAUUUACAAAAGAUUAACUUCUGCGAAAGCAUUUGCCGAGGAUGUUUUCAUCA
rnacentral:rRNA from 1 species